rnacentral:rRNA from 1 species
GUCCACGCCCUAAACUAUGUCAACUAGUUGUCGGGGAAGCAAUUCCUUGGUAACGAAGCUAACGCGUGAAGUUGACCGCCUGGGGAGUACGGUCGCAAGAUUAAAACUCAAAGGAAUUGACGGUGGCCCGCACAAGCGGUGGAUGAUGUGGAUUAAUUCGAUGCAACGCGAAAACCUUACCUACCCUUGACAUGGCAGGAAGCCCGAUGAGAGUCGGGUGUGCUCUAAAGAGAGCCUGCACACAGGUGCUGCAUGGCUGUCGU